AUAACUGCAUGAGAGAGAGAGAGAGAGAGAGAGAGAGAGAGAGAGAGAGAGAGAGAAAAUCAUGUGGGUUGCUAUGGGCAAAUGCACCAAUCAGCCAUAACAAAGUAUUAAAACUGAGAAUGUGUAUGUGUAUUAAGUUUGUUUUUUGUUUGCUCUCAUCUCUUUACUUAAUCUUAAACCAUCCCAAUACUACUCAAGUGCAGCACAACUCAUUGCCUCACAAUUGUCCUCAUUACCAUUCACUAUUUGAGUCUACACCUUCACUACAACUAUUGAACAAAACAAGAGUAAAAUUUUUGGGCUUUAUUAUAAACAUUUUAAACUUAGUGAAGUGGUCCAUGACACUAUCACUUGAGGCCACUUGUGAACACAGCUGAGACGAGCCUGAAGUGGUACUAGGUAGGCUGGCGUGGCGCUGGCAGAACAUAGCUGCACCAUAGGAAGGAGGCAGUGGAAGAAGGGGGGGAGGGGAAAGGACCUAAGUGGCAGCAUCACCGUUUUGGCUACACUUCACAUUGCACACUCAAGUAAUCCCAGGAAAUCAUUUAAAACACAGUAUGCAAUGGCUCCAAUUGCAUUAUGUUGGAAUGGUCUAUUAGUGAUAGUCCAAUGUUACUGUAAUACAGCUAGCAGAACACCUCUCGCCUAAUUAUAUACACUGGUGCAGUUUUGGCACCAAUACAACAAUUCCUCUACUUAAAUAAGAAUUUUAGCACUGAUUCCACAAUUUAAGCAUUGCUACCAACAAUAACAAUCUAUGAAGUGCAAGAGACUGAUUGCUAAGUGUUCUUGACUGGAAUCGAUUACAUAGAUACUGAUAACAUUAUUCAUGAUGGAACAUGUGAUCUGACACUUGGAAUAAGUUGGACAGAACCCAGAGGUUUUGUCUGAACACUGCAGGACAUGAAUUGACUAUGUUCUAAAUGAUGACUUCUGGCUCCUUGCUGGUAGAGCCACAGCCAUGUUGACACUUUCACUACAGGAACAAAAUGACUUGAAGUAUUAUACAAACAGAAGCGAGCCUCAGUAAACACACAGCCAUGGAAUGCCUAGUUGUUAGGCAGAACAAAAACAUCAUGUAGAAAAGAAGAUUUAAAAAAAUAAAAG